rnacentral:pre_miRNA from 14 species
UUUUUACAAUUCAGUCUCUUAAGUGUGUAUCUGAAAGACCCCCGGAGCGGGGAGACCCUCACUCAAGUCUCAGGAUGAUGCGACCCUCCAAGAACUCACGUGAGACC